CCUACGGGAGGCAGCAGUGAGGAAUAUUGGUCAAUGGGCGCGAGCCUGAACCAGCCAAGUAGCGUGAAGGAUGACUUCCCUACGGGUUGUAAGCUUCUUUUAUAAAGGAAUAAAGUGAGGCACGUGUGCCUUUUGGUACGUACUUUAUGAAUAAGGCUCGGCUAACUCCGUGCCCGCAGCCGCGGUAAUACGGAGGAGCCGAGCGUUAUCCGGAUUUAGUGGGUUUAAGGGGAGCGUAGAUGGGUUGUUAAGUCAGUUGUGAAAGUUUGCGGCUCAACCGUAAAAUUGCAAGUGAUACUGGCAGUCUUGAGUACAGGUGAGGUAGGCGGAAUUCGUGGUGUAGCGGUGAAAUGCGUAGAUAUCACGACGAACUCCGAUGGCGAAGGCAGCUUACUAAACUGCCACUGACAUUGAUGCUCGAAAGUGUGGGUAUCAAACAGGAUUAGAUACCCGGGUAGUC
rnacentral:rRNA from 1 species